rnacentral:snRNA from 1 species
CGUUCGGCGGAAGCGUCGUU